rnacentral:rRNA from 1 species
GACGGAGGGGGCUAGCGUUGUUCGGAAUUACUGGGCGUAAAGCGCGCGUAGGCGGCCGGUCAAGUUAGGCGUGAAAGGCCUGGGCUCAACCUGGGAACGGCGCUUAAGACUGAUCGGCUGGAGUCCGGGAGAGGGUGGUGGAAUUCCCAGUGUAGAGGUGAAAUUCGUAGAUAUUGGGAGGAACACCAGUGGCGAAGGCGGCCACCUGGCCCGGCACUGACGCUGAGGCGCGAAAGCGUGGGGAGCAAACAGGAUUAGAAACCCCCGUAGUCC